AUGGGGGGCGGGAACCCUGGUCCAGGGCUCCCUGGGAGCCCCUUCUCCCUGGAAAGGUGUCCACGAGGGUUAGCAAGUGAACACACACCCUGCCCGGCCCACGUAUCUCUGUCUGUCUCUCCUGAGCCGCACUGGCUCCUGAGCCCGUCCUGCUCUGUGGCUUCCGCUCAGCCCCAGGACUGCCCGUCGGACAUCCUGAUGGGAUGUUUCUGGCAGCCUCACCCGCCGGGUUGGGGGUGCCAAAGCCUGACCACGCUGACCACGCGUCUCUCUGUCUCCCUCCGCCGGCCAGUCCUGGUACCUGGGGUAGCAAGGGUCCUUGCCCCCUGCCCCUCUUCCAUCAUCAAUAAUCCCAGGGGGCAGCACAGCUGGCCCCUCCGAGCAAGCCCAGCCCGGCAGAGAAGACAAAACAACCCAUGCAGGCGGAAGAGGAAAAACCGAACUGAGACACGUGUGGGGGAGGGGCCAGGAAGACCCCCCACCCACCCACACCUCCCAGCCAAGCAGACAGAAAGCCAAGGCGCUGGACUGCAGUGCUGCCCUGCGAGAGCCGGCGCCUGCCUCAUCUCUGCACCUGCUGCUCCAACAGGGCCAGGAUGGAAGCACGCACGAGCACCUGCCCCUCCCCCGGCCCUGACUGCCCAGGUCCAGGUACUCGGCCUGAAACUGCAUCUCACAAGAUCCCCACCAAGAGACAGAUUUGUGUACCAUAGAGAAGUUUCUACAUGAGGAUUGAUGCCUUGAGGGGGAAAAAGUAAUAAGUACCUUCAAGAGCUCCUGCUUCUCAACUCUGCUCCAACAAGGCAAGAUUCUGAGAGUGGCUGUCCCUGGGAAGCAGACUCCAUUCUUGUGGCUCUCCCAUUGGCUCCUGAGACUUUCAUCAGAGAUGGGGCCCCUUUAACUGCUGGGAGCAUCCACUGUUGCUCAGGCACUGAAGCCGCUGUCAUGAGUGUGUGUCCUGACCAGAGAAGCUGAGCUUUGGUGAGAUGACAGUGCAAGAACUACAAACACGUGUGGUCAUCCUGGUGGAGAACUGAAUGCAGAUACUCAAAAAGGAAGGUAAAUUAAAGGGAGAAGAAUGAAAUCUCCUUUUUCUAUUUAAAGGACCUCCUGAGAGGAGAAGAGAGGCAGAGCUCUGGGAUUUUAGGUUUGGAAGUGAAUUUCUCCCUCAUGAACAUAUGUAGAGUGAGAAGAGACCCUCAACACAUGUUCUAUGUACCAUUUCACCUCAGCAGUGCACAUUUAUGUUUAGAAUCACUCGGAGACUUUAGAAUAUAAAACAUUGUCCUGGCCCUCUGCAGACCAGUUCAAUCCAAAUACCUGGGAGUAGAGGCAUCUUCUAAUUUCCCUGGGAAAGUCAGGGCUGAAAAGUACUGAGCUGCCCAUAUGCCCAAGUGGAGUUGUAUCACAGCUGAGAGAAGGUUGUCCACUGAAUUCCUUCCCCAGAGUAACAGGGGUGCAACAGCUAGGUCAUGCAGCUUGAAGCUCAUAUAAGCCAUCCACCAUAGCAACAUAAGGCAGAAGCUCUAAGAUUUAAAUUUAGCCUUCAUUUCAUGUAUGAACAAGAUACCACUUUUCUCUGUUUCGUAGGUAUGCCUUCUCAGAAUGCUGCGCUUUCCCAAGAGGUGACUGUGGAAGAGAAAGAAAUGAAUAAGGGAUUGCAGCUGGCCAGAUCCCAGGUGAGUUGUGUUUUCCUCUCUACACUGCUAUCAUUGUUCUCAGAAUGUAG
rnacentral:lncRNA from 1 species